rnacentral:siRNA from 1 species
UAUGAUGUUUACAUUGCUAAACAA